AUACGUAGGGGGCGAGCGUUGUCCGGAAUGAUUGGGCGUAAAGGGCGCGUAGGCGGCCCGGUAAGUCUGGAGUGAAAGUCCUGUUUUUAAGAUGGGAAUUGCUUUGGAUACUGUCGGGCUUGAGUGCAGGAGAGGUAAGUGGAAUUCCCAGUGUAGCGGUGCAAUGCGUAGAGAUUGGGAGGAACACCAGUGGCGAAGGCGGGUAACUGGACUGCAACUGACGCUGAGGCGCGAAAGUGUGGGGAGCAAACAGGAUUAGAUACCCUGGUAGUCCACACUGUAAACGAUGAAUGCUAGGUGUAAGAGGUAUCGACCCCUUUUGUGCCGGAGUUAACACAAUAAGCAUUCCGCCUGGGGAGUACGGCCGCAAGGUUGAAACUUAAAGGAAUUGACGGGG
rnacentral:rRNA from 1 species